UAUCACUUUCUACUACGUAAUUGGCAUCCUGACAUGUGCAACUUCUUCUUCCUCACACGAUUCACUCAUAUUCCCAAUCACUUCCUCGGACCACAGUAAACCACCACUUGUCGACGUUUUCUUUUUCCUUCACAUCCAAACGACUGUCGUAGCUGUCUUCUUUUCCCAUUGAAAUUAAACCAAACAACUUCCAACGACUUCAUUCUCCAUCACAACCAACCAUUUUUUGUUUCCUUGAACAACAAUUUCUUUUUUACUCGAGUCUUUGUUUCGGAUCCCUCCAAUAAUUAUCGCCUAACCUUCCACGAUGAUUUCCUAAUUGUUUGAUUACUAAGAAGCAUCCGCUGACAGCUUCUCCUAUCGCUAAACGGAAACGAGAUAACAACCUCUGCUUCAAUUCCAACCCAUUCUUGAAUGAAUCGCCUUCCCCCAAUGAUUGAUAACCAUCUAAAGCACUUCCAACAGAACUACUUACGCCAAACACUUGCGACUCGAACUUGUUUCGAUCGCUCUCUUUCUCUUCAAUUUCUAUUUUGAACUUGUUUCGAUCACUCACCUUUUCUGCAAUUUCUAUUGCCUCCAUUUGUACUUUUCGUUCUCGAUUCUUUUUAUCGGUGUCCUUCCUCCGUCGACUGUGCUCAUCAUCACCGAUAUUUGUCAUUGUUGCCUUUUGGCUUAAUUCUCUAACUUCUCUGUAACCUUCUUGCUCAUCUUCGAUCCCCCAAUUAUUUAAAGUAUCGAUGCUUCUCCUUGCUCUUCCUUAUUCUAACUCAUCUUUAUUCGGCUGAAUGAAUCUUCUGUUUCGCUCGUUUUAGAUUUCUCAUGAAUAAUGUCUUCAAUAUAUUUGAUUAGUUAGGUUUCUCUUCUUUUUGCUUCUUCGAUUUCUCUCCUUUUUGCUUCUUCCUUGGUUAUUUCAACUCUCCUUUAACAACCACGGAUGGUUUUCCUGGAUUUGAAUCCCCCUUAGAUCAAUCGCCUGUGCCAAGGACCUCAAAGUCUCUUCGAUCUUCUUCAUCAUUUCUCUCUGUUUUCCAGUGGAUGCCAUGGAUAUGCCUUUUCAUGCCUAUCUUGAUUUCUUUGGCGCUCCAAAUUUUCAGAAGGGAUGCAAUUAUAUGCAGCAACAGGCUUCACUUUUCUUCCAACAACUGCUAUACCUUUGUUAGCCCUUUUUCGUUGGGAUUCAGGUGAAUCAGUUUCUCAAUUUUGAAGCAAGAGUUCUCGAGCUUCGAGAAGGAAGAGAUACUUCGGUCAUUUUGCGGAAUUGACCCAUCAAAGCUUGAUGAAUUUGGAUGCAUCAGUUCACGUAACCAAGCUCUUCAAUCUACAGCUUCAUGCUCUGUGGGAAAAACUGGAAGGGCUAAUAGACUGAUGGAGCUCGGAAAGAUAUCCAGUUGAUGAAGGUAGCUCCUUUAUUGGAGUAAAACUCAAAUCCAGAACGUUAAAGAUUUCAUGUUUUUUCAUCAAUUGCUGGCAAGCUUUCAAGCUUACUACUACACCAAGAAAAGAUUUAAAUCUACAAGAGACUUUAACCUGAGGAUGCUUGGAAGCUCUGCAAAGGUUGGCGCAUCCUCUAAAGACCAAAGUAUUAAUUGUUGGAUGAAAAAAUCGAUAUUGGCAGAUGUGUAAUACACCAUAGAUAUUAUUAUUAUUUUACUUCUCACCAUAUUAUAUUUUAAUCUUCAUGUUAAAAGAAAAGGAGUUAAUCAAACUGUUAUUUUGAAAUAAAUUCUUGUCUAACUUUAGAUAAAUAUCUUUAGGAUUCUUUAUAAGCACACAUGGAAUAGUAAAAUAAAUUCUUGAUCUUCAA